rnacentral:rRNA from 1 species
UACGUAGGGUGCAAGCGUUAAUCGGAAUUACUGGGCGUAAAGCGUGCGCAGGCGGUUAUGUAAGACAGAUGUGAAAUGCCCGGGCUUAACCUGGGAACUGCAUUUGUGACUGCAUGGCUAGAGUUUGGCAGAGGGGGGUAGAAUUCCACGGUGUAGCAGUGAAAUGCGUAGAUAUGUGGAGGAACACCGAUGGCGAAGGCAGCCCCCUGGGUCAAGACUGACGCUCAUGCACGAAAGCGUGGGGAGCAAACGAGG